GUGCUCUUCUCAGCAGCACACACACUAGGACUGGAACGAUGCGGAGAAGGUUAGCGUGGCCUCUGUCAAGGAUGACGUGCAAAGUCGCGAAGCAUUCCGUGUUUAA
ensembl:snRNA U6 U6 spliceosomal RNA